UUUAACUGUGAUGAGCCCAACAGACCUGUAAUGAUUUGCGGGCAUGAUCGCAAUCAUUAAUGAACAUCUAAGGGACUGAGUUAUG